UGGAGGGGGGAUGGAGGCUCGCUUCGCUUCCGAGAGGCUGGGGCUGCGCCUGGCUGCACUGAUGCCUGGGUUCAUUGUGGGUGGAGGGUGAGCCCUUCCUCAGCAGGUCAUGACCAGAGGUGGUCGGACGGCAAGGACUGCUCUCCAGGCGCGUCCAGCAGGGACAGUGCGGCCGGGCCCUCCCCUCCCUGUCCCUCUGGCGACCCCGCUUGUGCCUGCUGCUUCCUGCUGUUAUCCCUCCUGGUACCACGUUCUAAUCACUUGCGAUUAGAUCGGCACUCAGGCCUCUGGACACCCGAGCAUGACUUCUGGGACAAGCUGUGUCUUCUCCCCCAACCUUUAAAAAUGUGAACCAUGAUUCAGGUGGUGAAUAAAAGCUGGCACAGAAUUAAGCGGUGGAUGGAUGCGACAUCUUUAUCGCUGUGUCCUGGUUGUGGUGCAGGACGGUCCUCGCGGUGCCGUGGCUGUUUCUGU
rnacentral:lncRNA from 1 species